rnacentral:miRNA from 1 species
AUGGAAUCUAUUAAGUUGGUGCAAAAGUUAUUGCGGUUUUUGCCAAUUACAAAACCAACGGCAAAAACUGCAGUUACUUUUGCACCAACCUAAUAUGUGAA